rnacentral:tRNA from 1 species
CAGGGAGACAACAAAAUGUUUAAUAUUAUUAUUUUGUCACCUUAGGUCGAUCGGUAUCUCACGUUCUUAAUUUACUAAGAAUUUCAUUUCCUAAGUUUUUCUAGGACACACCCAUUAUUUUCCUGGGCCAUUAGCUCAGGUGGUUAGAGCGCACCCCUGAUAAGGGUGAGGUCCCUGGUUCAAGUCCAGGAUGGCCCAUAUCUCUAUGUUGGGGGUAUAGCUCAGUUGGUAGAGCGCCUGCUUUGCAAGCAGGAUGUCAGCGGUUCGAGUCCGCUUACCUCCACUGAUUACCACCUCUUCCAUAAUUUAAAGAAAGGAAAUGUUUUGAGCUGUGAUCAAAUUCUGAACGAAUCUAGCUUCCUAGUGAAAUCAUUAAGAUGCUGGACUCAUUGAAUUAAUUUCAUUGUUUUCAGAGAACCUUGACAACUGCAUAGAUUAUUUUUAAAGACAAAAAGCAUCUUUAAUGAUGCAGAUUUAUUAUUUGUGCGAAUGCAUUAAUAACAAUUCUAUUAAGCUGAUGCUUCAAUUAUGAAGUUAUU